rnacentral:lncRNA from 1 species
AUGCAUUCCCAUGAGGAGUUUUUGAGUUUCAUAUCGUGCAGCCUUCUCAAAAGACUGAAGAAACAACCGGCUAUGAAAAGGAUGUCAUUUCUCCAGGAUCACACAGGAGCUCCAGUCUUUGGCACUGCCUUUGGACAUUCAUCUCUGGGCUUCUGGUUCAGACCCUUCAGCCUUCCGGUGCAGACCCUCUGAUUUCCCGUACACUCUUGCAUGGGACUCUGCGGUUUCAACUAAGUGGAAUCAUGGAUAAUUUUAAAAAAUCAAUCUUGACAUUAUUUCCAAAUUGGACAUGAGAUAAUUUAGUAGACUUUAUUUUUGAGAGUUUAUAUCUGUUCAUGGAUAUUCAGUAUUUCUUUAUAUUUUAUUUUCAUUUUGUUUAGUAGAAUCUCUUCAAACAUUUAUAAUUCUGAAAUUUGCUGCUCAGGAAAGUCUCAGAGAAUGGUGCAUACUAAAUAAGAUUGUCCACUGUAGGUGAAAUCAAUUUAAAUGAUUAUUACAGAAUUUCUUGGGCUUUUUAUCCCAAAAUGCAAUGUGAAUACAGAGAUGGAAACUAUGCUUCUAAGUAUCCGCAACAUAAAAACUCAAUUUUAUUGGCAUAAACCAUCUGUACAUGUUUACCAAAAGUAGUCUGGUGUCUGUUUCUUUCUCUUUCCAACAAUGUGUGUGUGCAUGUUUGCGUGUGUGUGUUCAUGGAUAUAUUCAGAAGACAUUAUCAUUAGUGUAAUGAGAAGCAUUUAUACUUAUCCACCUCUGCGUUGCAUGUGGUGUGAUAAAAAAUAGCAUGGGUAUUUACAUUUUUAAAAAUUUUUACAAUGAAAAAUGCAUUGCCAUUGACCCCCUUUAGGUACCUCACUCCCUUCAAAACACUUAUCCCAUAGUUCUUGGCACUUUUGGGAGCAGAUCUGGGCCUGUCCUGAAUAUUUCUGUGUACUGUGUUGGUUCUCAUGAUGUCCUGAAGUUCUGCAGAGUGAUCUUCCUUCAUAGUCAUUUUGACCUUGGAGAAGAGCCAGAGGUUGCACAGCGGCAGAUCAAAUGAUUGCAAUCAAUGAGGACACACAGUGCAUUUUACUUUGAUGGAAAUUGCUGUAAAAAUUUGACCAAUAAGGGUUGAUUGAAAAAUAAAAUAAAUAAAGAGCAAAAAAACCCACUUUGUCAUUAAUCCCUGUUGGAUGCUCAAAAUACUCGCACUCAUUUCAGACACAUCUAUCCC